GGGGGAGUAACAUUUGUGGGGAUAUUAUGUGUUUUGGGGUAUCUUUUUGUUUUUUUUGCCUGGAGAUAAUUGAGUUAAUACAGUAUCUGAUUCAAUUAUCUCCCAGGCAGAGGGGAGGAAUUGUGUGCUGUGUGUGGGAGUGUCGUGCCUUGUAACCUUAUUGUUAUUGGUCUGUGAUGUUGUAAAUCAGUCUACAAUCAGGUCCAUGUGGGGGAACCCCUUGCAUUGGGAUUGUCCUAUAAGGCCAAGUGUAGCACCAUUAAAAGGAGUUCCUCUUCACCCUCAACACCUA